rnacentral:lncRNA from 1 species
GUUAAUAUAUAUUUGUCAGGUGAUGUAUUUAGAAAAAAAAUGUUUGACUAGUACAGACAAAAUCAUUUUGGGAAUUAUUUCUCUGUAAUCUGUUGUUAAAUAGGUUUUUUUAUGUUUAUAUAUAUAUAUAUAUAUAUAUAUAUAUAUAGUCAUCUGAACACUAUCAAGUCUUUGUAAGUUUUACUUAUUCACAAUGAACUGAAAAAUCAUAUUGCUUGACAAGAACUGAUUCAUGAAGAAUACAAACAGAAAACAAAACAUGUGAACCAACAUUGCUAUUUUCUAUGGAUUUCCAUUUACAAACCAAAAUAUAUUGACAUACAUGCUUUGCUCUAGAUGAAACCCAUUCCUAAGAUACACAUAGAGACCAUAUGAAAUAUGUCCUGUCUUAUUUAUAUACACCUUACUGGCACCUUAUAUUUAUAUAACAAAUGUACAUAUAACUGAACUCCUCGACUUCUAGAGAUAAAUACAUAGGGUAAAAAUAAAAUAAAAUGAAAAUAUAUUAUUAGGGAAAACUCUGUUGGAAAUACAGGUGAAAUGAAAUUCAAUUUCCAUUCAUUUAUAUUUAUUUAAUUCCCACAACAAAUUUCCCUGAAUAUCUCUUGUAAUGAUUUUGCAAUCAUGAAUACGGGAGACCCUUUUUUUUCUUUCAAAAUUCAAUGAUUUUUAUUAUUUUUUUAUAUCUAUUUUUUCUUUGUCCAUUUUGUUGCCUCUAUUUUUGUUUUCUUUACCGACAGGCAAUAUUAUGAUUCUUUAUCUUUUCAAUCACAUGUUUAAUUCUUUAUUAAUUUUUCAGAAAAUUUAAGAUAAAUAUUUAUUUUAUGAGAGAAUCAUUUAUUAAAAUGUUUAAGUAUUAUUUCCAUAAUAUCUUCAACUAAAGAAGAAAGAAUAUAAAUACCAUUUUUGAUGACAUCGUUUUCACAAUGCAAUGCUCUGUUCUGUUUAGUAAGAUUCUACCAACAGUAACUUCAGUCAUUUUUAUUAUUAUUAUUAAUUAAUUAUUUCUAAGACAUGUUGCUGUACCAUUGUUUACCCAUUCACCAUCUUUGAUAUAUGUAAUUCUGCUAUUAGCCAGACACUAUCUAUUUGUCAGUUUAUAUGAUUUACUUACUACCUACCUAUCUACCUACCAAGAAUCCAACAAUAUUCAAGAUAUACAAAACAACAACAACAACAAAAAAAUCUUUCUGAAUAUUUAAAACUUUUACUGUUUCUUGAUUCUAUAUAUUCUCCAGAAUAGCUUGAACUGUAGAAUUUUGAGAGAUGAGAUCACUACAUUUGAGUAACUUGGUGUGCAUUAAUUGACUUAUUUACCUUGAUUUAAGCAACAUUUGGAAAUCGGGUGUCAAAUUCACUAUCCUCCUUCAUUUUAGUACUGCAGUAAAAACAGUUUUAUCAGCUACAUAGAAUAAUCUCUAAACAUCUAAUGAAGCUAAGCUAGUAUUAUAAUUUCUCUUAUCUUGUGCCAUUUUUUCUCUCCUUUCAGUAGAUUUGUUCUAUAAAAUAUUUUAUUUUAUUCUCAGCUAUGUUCUGCCACUCAAAAUACUCUCUUUGUUACUGCAGUAGUUAUAGUAGUAGUAGUUGCAGUAGUUAUAAUCUCCAUAUUAGUAGCAGUAGUAGCAGCAGUACUAUUAUUAUGUUUAAAUCCAUGUGUUGUUAUUGCCUGAACAUUUGGUUUCUCUUUAGAUCUUGUCUAAAAACAUUUAAUACCAAAUACUGCCAUCUUUUGAUCAGCAAAGAAACUAGUCUUAGUGGUCUUCCCUUCAGUAAUCAGUGAAUUUCCCCUAAAACUAUCUUAAAUGUAUUUUUACUUUAUUUUUCCAAUCUCGCUUUAUUGCUGUCUGCCAUUUUUGCCUUCCUGUUUCUUUCACUGUCUCGUCCUUUUUCUCUACGUCUUGUAGAAAGCCAGCUGUUAUUUUUGUUUGCAAAGCCAUUUCAUCAUUAAAAGCCAUUUGAAACCUACAAACCACAAAAGGUGUUUUCAAAUCAAACCCCUCCAAUUUGUUUUGAGAUACUUGACUGUUUGCAGGCAAGGAUUUUUUUUUUACAAUAUAAGUAUAAUAUAAUAGAUAUAUGUAUAAUAUUAUAUAUGAUAUAAAUCAUUAUAUAAUAUAAUAUAUAGUAAUACGUGAUAUAUAUAUUAUAUAUAUGAUAUACAUACAUAUGAUAUACAUGAUAUGAUAUAUAUAUAAUAUAUAUACAUAUGAUAUAUAUAUAUAAUAUAUAUACAUAUGAUAUAUAUAUAUAAUAUAUAUACAUAUGAUAUAUAUAUAUAAUAUAUAUACAUAUGAUAUAUAUAUAUAAUAUAUAUACAUAUGAUAUAUAUAUAUAAUAUAUAUAUAUAUAUAUAUAUAUAUUUAUAUAUAUCAUUUAGUUCUAAGCAUCUUAAGGCAGCCUAUUUUUUGUGCAAGGGGAUUAUAAUCUGCAAGCAUCAACUAUUGCCCAGUACCCUCCUCUCAUAAACUAUAUGUCCAUAUCAAAAUAGUUCUGUUUGUGUUGACAUUAUAUCCCUUUCUCAGGUAGAUGUGGUGUAGGGCUUACCUACUGCUUUGCUUUGUAUCCUAUUUACCCACUCCCUCUGAUAUGCAUUUUGCAUAAUUUAUUUUGACACUCACUUCUUGCUUUUUAAUCCCGACCUCCCUACCCAACUUCACUCUUCUUAUUUCUGAUUUAAUAAACAACACGGUGACUUAAACUAUUCUUUAUCCUUUCGCUUAUACUGCAUUACUAUCUCCACCACCGUCAUUUCAAACUGCUUAAAAAUCAAGAUAAUAUAUUAGUACCAUGUAUUCACAUAUUUUUUUAAGCUUCAAAUACCUAUAUAUUUUAUUUAAUUUAUAGCUAUUACAUACAAAUAUAACUGGUGGAUGGUGGAACCAGUAGAGUGUCAGACAAAAUACUUCUUGACAUUUCUUUUGUGCAUUCUGAGUUCAAACUCUGACCAAGUUUACUUUGCCUUUCAUUCUUCUGAGGUUGAUGAAGUUAGCACCAGUUGAUAAAAUAUAUACUGGGGCCAAUGUAAUUCAUCUAAAUUCUAGAAAGCUGUACCUUAGUAAAAUCAUAGUUCAGUGCCUGAAACCAGUAAAAGUAUAAAUGAUAUAUAAGGUUCUCUUACAUUCUCCCCCAAAGAUUUAUAUCUAGCUUUACUUCAAAAAAGCUAACUGUUAUUGCAAUAUUUAGAAUAGGCAAUCUGUUUCUUCUCUAACUUUGUAAGGCAUUAUGAUUUCCAUUCUGAAUGAAUUAUUAUAUUACUGAAGACUGAGUAUGUGGAUGAUUUGCUAGUGCCACAUAUGACUGUUUCUAGAAAUAAAUUUUAAUUCCUUCCAGGCCUUUUUUUAAUUCUAAUUAAGCCUUGCAAGUUAAAAUCAGUUGCACUGUUUAUUAUAUAAUAACAGCUUUGUGAGUGAGAGGUGCCAAUCAUCUCAACCAGCUAAAAACUUCUUGAAGGUUGUGUGCUCAUGUACUUUUAUACAGGGCUUAAAAUAGCAUUGAUAAUUGAUGAAUAUAUUAGAACUGAUUAAUUUGCAUGACAUAGCUCUCACCCUUUUUAUACCCUCUUCUCAAUUCCUUAGAAAAAGAAUAGGACUUUACUGUAGAUUAACCUAUAGAUUUUUGCUAAGAUAAAUGAAAUAUUCAUUAUUUGAUAGUUAAGAAAAAUAAUGUAGAAAGACAAAACUUUUAUUAAGAAUAAUUCUCGUUCAUUCUCAAGAGUUGACCUGUCAUAAAUGGCAAUGUUUGACAUAUAUAUAUUGAACACUGUUUAUACUUCAUCUCAGUAGGUGUUACUUUAAAAAUAUCUAUUAUAAUGCUAAUGCUAUACUCAUAACUAUUAGCAUUUUACCGUGUGAACUGUUGCAACCUCUUACUGUUAAAAUAUUUUCCAUAUGCUGUUAUUGGAGAAAAAUUAAUAAUAAAAGAUAUGCUUCAUGGUGGUAAUUAAAUCUGGUGAACUCUUCCCUCAACCCUUUCUAGCUCUAUGCCACGCUCUCACCUGUUAUCCUUGGACUACACUGCACAUUUCAUCUUUCGCGUGAUUAUUGAAUCCUUCCCUUACCUGUGCUUCUACCUAACCAAGGAUUAUUUCCUUUAGAUACCUAGCCUUGCUUAACCUCAGUUUUUGUGCCUGCUUUUAUGUCUCAAAACAAAAUGCAAUUUAUUUUAGUCCGUCAAACACCUUUUUUUUUUCGUUUCUACACACGACCAUCUUUGUGCUUCCACAAGUGUUUGCUUAAAAAUGCAUCAACUUUUUGUUUCAAAGAUUGGAAAAAUGUGUACAAAUGUUGACCAUCAGUAAGCUAUAAAAUGAUGAACCGUUUAAGAUUUGCUGUUCCUUAUUUUUCUUUUUACUAUUUCUCUUCUUUAUUAUUGGUUUUCUGAGAUUGAAUGAUUUCAAAAUGGCAGUACCUCGUACACUUUGCUUUGAUACCAGUGUUGUUUGGGGUUUUUGGUUUUGUUUUUUGUUUUGUUUAUUUUUUCAUAAAGGUGAUAGAAAUAGUCAUAUUUGAUCAUCUUUAUCUUUGCAAAAUAACUGAUAUUAUUGAUAAUUCCUCUCUAAAAUUUCAGGAAUGACAUUGAGUGUCAUUGAAUGCUAAAUUUACCAUCUAGCUGUUGGCAUCAACUCAAACCAACUUUGACACACGUGUUUGGCUCAUUUAGAAACAUUUCUCAGAGAAAAGAGUUUAAAAUGGUCAGAUUACUUUUUUAUAGUCAAAAAUAGUUUCCCUUUUAUAACAGUUUUUUUUUAACCCCCUUUUGUUACUCCCUUUGUUUGUUUUUUACACUCCUCUUUGAUAUUUCAUUUUUCCUAACAAAGUGAAAGAAUGAAAUUUCAUUGAUCUACGUUACUAAAGAGUUCAGUUUUUAUUCCCUCUAACACUACCAUUUCCUCUCUGUCAUAUGUCCAGCUGCUAGUUCGGUUAUUCCUUGUGCAAUAAACUGCAUUCGCUUCACGUUUAUUUCAUUAGAAUCCUCUGUCAUUUUGAUGUUUGCUGUUUUUUGUUCCCCCUCCUCUUCCUUCAUUGUUAAUCCUUUUCUAAUGGUCUGUGUGCUUUUGGUUACCAUCUUGCUGCCAUUUUGAUUAGCAAUUUUCAUUUUCAAUUAACACUUUUGUUGGCUUUCAUAUAUUGGCAGACAGACAUAAGGUUCAUUCAUGUGUGAUUAGUUUAGUUUAUUUUAUUCAGCUGCAUGAUAUAUAUAUAUAUAUAUAUAUAUAUAUAUAUAUAUAUAUAUAUAUAUAUAUGAUUGAUUUUAUUUUGUAUUCCUUCCUAUAGAAUUAUUUCAGCAUUUUAAAUAACAAUUGUUCUUUUUUUUCUGUUUUGCUCUCAAUAUUUUUUUUAUGCACUUUUUAAUUCUCAGUCAAGAAUUUCGCUGCCCAACUGAUGGUGAAGUACCUGAAGCUCUCAUCUAUUUCCGAAAGCACUCUAGUGGCUUGAUGAAAUGGUGGAGAAUACAAUGCUGUCAAAGGCAUUUUAUCAUGUUAAAUAUUUAGAAUUUACUGCACACUUCCUACCUGACUAGCUCCAAAGAUAGGGGUCGGAGUGUGUGAUAAGUCAAACAGACGCCGUUGUUUACAUGUAUGUAUGGCCUCAUACUUCUAUGUGAAUAGACAGGACAACUCUGGAGAAUACUACAAAGUUAGUGUUGAUAGAAUCACCAGUGAAGUUUCUAAGUUGAUUUUAUCAGGAACUAGCGUUCUUAAGUGACAACUUGACUGGAUUUUGCUUUUUUGGAGAUUAUUGGAUCAUUUGUGCAUUAUCUAUCUAUAUAUAUAUUUUAUUAUUAUUAUUAUUAUUAUUAUUAUUAUUAAUAUUAUUAUUAUUAUUAUUACAUAUAAUUAUAAUGCAGUUAUGCAGAAUUUACUGAAACUAGCACAGAAUUAACGUCCAGAAAUCUGGAUUCCUGACAUAUUAUUAAUUUAUUUUUCAAAAAUUUACUUAGCUCAAAUAAUGCAUGAUAAUUACUCUUUUAUUUUCCUUUUUUUUUUUAAAUAUAAAUUUUUAUAGCUUUAUUCUGUUAAUAUUAUUUAUCAAUUGAAUAAUAAGUUAUACCUUUCCUUAGUUCAUUUUUACUGUCCAAAUUAUUCAUAAGGUAUCAUUUUUUUUAUAUAUAUAUAUUCUCUUUUUGGCCUUUCAUUUGACCCCUGCUUCAGAUUUUUUUUUUCAUUUUGUUAGGAAAUAUAGACACUUUGGCCAUUUUUGAUCAUUCCGUGAUUUUUCUUUUUAUGAAAAAUCUUAGAGAGAUUUUUGUUUUACCAUUUUAUUUUUCACUGAAGCAAUGUUUCAACACAUAUAAUAUAUAUAUAUCUAAUAUAUAUAUAUAUAUACCUAAUAUAUAUAUAUCUAAUAUAUAUAUUUAAUUAUAUAUAUAAUUUCAUUCUUGUCUUUUAGCGACGAGUUUCAUUUUUUUUUUAUCUAAUAGAUUUUAUGCAUUAUUUUCAACAGUUUGUUCAUUAAUUACUCUGAAAAAAUCAUUUUCCAAAUGGUUACUUAUCGAAUCUACUAAACAGAAUCUAACCUUCAACUGUGAAUGCAUUGCUAAUUUCUUUGGAUUAAAACAUAAAAUUAUACAUAUAAAUAAUAUAAUUUUUUAAUUAAUUAAUUACUUCUUAGUAUUUUUAACUAAUUAUUUCUCCAAUCAACAUACUUUUUUUUUGUGUUUUUUUUUUGUUUAUUUUCUUCUUCAUUUUUAGGGUCUUCAUUUCAGUCAUUUUUUUCCUUCAUCUCACCAUCUCUUCUAUUAAUUCUUCUCUCCUAAAAUUGCCUCAUACAGAAAAUUCUAAACAGAAAUAAAUUUUACAUUGUUACUUAAUUGUGGCAAUAAAUAGAAGAAUUUGUUCAUUUAUUUUUCUAUAUAUAACAUUAACAUCAACAUGACACAUUUGUCCAUUAUUGAGAGAGGCUUAUCUUAGCUCCUUGUCUUGUAGUGAGCUACAGCCAUUUUAUUCUAGUACCAAUUAUAGAACUAUAUCUUAUAAAUAAAGUAACAAGUGUUGUUAUGUGCUUCUAUUUGUAUUCUCAUUCAUGCAAAGAAAUAAUGGUGAUACCACAAUUCUCAACUCAUGAGGCAGACAUUGACUGGAUCAAUGUUAACCUCUGAUACUUAACACUCAAAUUGUCAUAAAACAAUAACAAUGAUGACAUUAGUAAUAAUAAUAAUAAUAAUCAUUGUGUUGUUCUCAUUAUUACUAAUAUUAUUAUCUCAAAUUAUUUUAUCGUCAAGGAGUGCAGAAGCUGAGUGAAUAAAAUUGGUUCACUUCCAGCCAGCUUGUGAGUUAUAAAGCUCUCAUCUUGCUUAACGUAGUUUUGCACUUCACAAACACUUUCCUUGCUGAAAAGAAAAGAAGAAAAACAUUUGAAAGGAAGAAUAGUACUUAGUUAAAUUAUAAUAAUUAUUAUUAUUUUUUGUUAUUGUUACUAUCAUUAAUACUUUGUCCAGAAUCUAAAUACAUAUAAGGUAGUUUGAAGUCUUCUUUAAAUUUAAAAGUUUUGUUGAUAAUAAUAGUGUUUGGCCUAUUUUCUACAAUUGGACAUUCAAAAAGUACCAAUGAAGUAAACCGUCUCAAAGUUUGUAGUUUUCUGCUAAUGUAAGAAAUGAUUGUUUAUUUUACUCCUGGUGGCUACCAUUGGGUAGUGGUAUAUUCAUGGCAAAACCAGUUUGGAUUACCAUUAUUUGCUCCAAUUGCCUAUGUUCUCAACAAAGGCAAGAGUAUUGCAACUACCUGUUAAAUCCUACACUUGAAAUGUUAAAAUCUCAAGCUUCACUUGUAUGAAAGAAAUUGUAUUUACUAUUGUCAAUGCUGUGUUCUUUAAACUAUGUAUGCACACAUUAUAUAUAUAUAUAUAUAUAUAUAUAUAUAUGUGUGUGUGUGUGUGUGUGUGUAAUGUCUGUAUGUGAAUGUAUGUAUAUAUGUUUAUAUAUCUAUGUACAAAUAUACAUAUGUAUAUAGCUUUGUGUAUGUGUGUAUAUGUAUAUAUGUUUUUGUGUAUGUGUGUAUAUGUAUAUAUGUUUUUGUGUAUAUGUAUAUAUAUAUAUCUAUAUAUGUAUUUCUGUAUACGUGUAUAUAUGUAUUUUUGCAUAUUUAUGUAUGUACACUUUUCUGUGUACAUGUGUGUGUGUAUGUGUGUGUAUAUAUGUAUAUAUAUAUAUAUAUAUAUAUACACACACACACAUACACACACCCAUAUAUGUGUGUAUUUAUGUAUGUGUAUAUGUACAAGAGUUGAAUAUUUCCCAUACAAUGUAAGAUUAGACCUUCAUGGUAUUGCCCUUGAUCAUAUCAGGCAUUAGUGAGGGUUUGUUUGUUUUUAGAAAGAAGCUUGUUUGACCAAUCUGUUAACUCCCAACACUGCUCCCUCCACAAACAACAAAAUAAGGAAAGAAAUCAAUGUUUUUCUCCAUCAUAAAUUAACAUAAAAAUACGGAUAAAUCUGUGUGUGCAUAUAUAUAUAUAUAUAUAUAAGCACAUACGCAGUCCCUAUUUUAAACAAAAAACGUAUGUUUUCUAUGUUCAGUAAAAAAAAAAAAUAAGAAUUUCCAACCGAUUUUUCUCUGUGUCUGUCUACAAAGUAGAUACUUUGUAUUGAAAUUAGACCAAAAUCUGUAACUGUACCCUGACAGGAAUUCAGUCUAGAAACAUUUGUGAACCCUAAAAGAAAGAAAAAAUAAAGGAAACAAGACUUACAUAAAAAAAAAGAAAAAUGCUACUAAAAAAAUAGUAAGGAUGAAUGAAAUACGUAUAUUUUCUGCAUGAGCUAAUUUACAAAAAAUAAAAAAAUUAAAAUUAGAUUUUCGUAACAAGAAAAAAUAAGAGAAAAUUAGCAAAAAAUUCAAUAUAAUGAUGGAAAAUAAUUUUUUUUUUUUUGUUAUUUAUGAGAAAGACAAUAAAAAAAUAUUACCUGCUAUUUGUUUAUUAUUAUUAUUACUACUAUUAUUAUUAUUAUUAUUAUUAUGAAGGCGGUGAGCUGGCAGAAUCGUUAGUAUGGUGGGUGAAAUGCUUAGUGGCAUUUCACCUGCUGCUACAUUCAGAGAUCAAAUUCCACUGAGGUCGACUUUGUUUUUCAUCCUUUCAGAGUCAAUAAAUUAAGUACCAGUGAAACACUGGGGUCAAUGUGAUUGAUUCGUCCCCUCCCCACAAAUUUCAGGCCUUGUGCCUUUUGUAGAAAGGAUUAUUUCUAUUAUUAAGGCAGUGAGCUGGCAGAAUCAUUAGCAUGCUGGAUGAAAAUCUUAGCGACAUUUCAUCUUUCUAUAUAACCUGAGUUCAAUUUCUACCAGGUUCAACUUUCACUUUCAUCCUUUUGGAGCCAAUAAAAUAAGUACCAGUUGAGCACUUGAGUUGAUAUAAUCAACUAGCUCCCUCCCAUGAAAUUUCAGGUCUCGUGCCUGUAGUAGAAAGGAUUAUUAUUAUUAUUAAGAUGGCAAACUGACAGAAUCAUUAGCAUGUUGGAUGAAAUGCUUAGUAGCACUUCUUUCAAUUCUUUAUGUUUUGAGUUCAAAUACCUCCAAGGUUGACUUAGCCUUUCAUCCCUUCAGGGUCUAGAAAAUAAGUACCAUUUGAGCACUGGGGUCAAUACAAUCAAUUUCCUACUCCCCUUAAAAUUACUGGCCUUUUGUCUAUAGUAAAAUCGUUAGUCAUUAUUAGCAUGCUGGGUGAAAUGCUUUAUGUUCUGAGUUCAAAUUCUGCCAAGCUUGAUUUUGCCUUUCAUCCUUUCAGGGUGAAUGAAAUAAACACCAGUUGAGCACAGGUCGAUGUAAUCAACUAGUCCCCUCCUGCAAAGUUUCAGGCUUUAUGCUUAUUAUUAUUAAGGCAGUGAGCUGGUAGAACCAUUAGCAUGACAGGCAAAAAGCUUAGCAGUAUUUUGUUCCGAGUUCAAAUUCUGCCAUGGUCGACUUUGCCUUUUGUCCUUUGUCCCACAAUUUCAGGCCUUGUGCCUAUAGUAGAAAGGAUUAAUAUUAUUAUAAUAGGUUGUAACUUGGUAGGACCAUUAGCAUGUCAGAUAAAUUGCUUAGUGGUAUUUUUUCCAGCUCUAACAGUCUGUGUUCAAAUCCUGCCAAAGUCAACCUUGCUUUUCAUCAUUUUGGAAUCGAUACAAUAAAGUAACAUUCUAGUACUGGAGUUGAUAUCAUUGACUUAUUCUUUGCCUUCAAGAGUGUUGGCCUUGUGCCUAAAUUACAAGCAAUUGUUAUAAAGUUCCACAUUGAUCUUGCCAAAAGGUUCAUAUCACAAGAUUUAGUGACAAGUCUGCUCACUUCUCAAGAACUUGAUAAGGAAUUCCUAAAAACAGGUGAAUAUUGGUGGUUAUGAAUAUACUUUAAUGUAUAAAAGUGGAAAGACAAAAUAUAUCAUUGGUUUUUAGGUUUAAAAAAUGGGAUCACAUUGCACUGGAGUUUGUAUGGUAAGUUCUCUUAAAUUUCAAGUUCAAAUCCUACCAGGGUUGACUUAGCCCUCUGUUCUGGAAUUGAUUAAAUAAGGUACCAACCAUGUAAGUAGUAGAGUCAAUAUAACUAUAUACUGCCUCUCCUCCACAAUCAAGGGGAUAUUGGAAGUCAUCAUCAUUAUCUUCAUCAUCAGCUUUGUUAAGGCAGUGAGCUGGCAGAAUCAUCAGAGAAUUGGAAAAAAUGCCUUGUAUUUCCUUCAAUUCAUUAUGUUCUGAGUUGAGAUUCCUCCAGGGUUGAUAGAGUACCAGUCUAGUUUUGGGUUUGAUAAUAUAAUAAAAUAAGUCAAUAAAAUAAGUACCACUUGAACAUACAUCUUGGACAUCAUCAUUAUCAUCAUCAUCAUCAUCAAUUCUUUCUUGUUCUGCCAAUAACAUUGCUACAUUACUGGAGGAUGCAAGCCGUUAUUCAUUGAUUUAAUUAGUACAUUGUUGUUCCUUGUUAUAAAUUAACAUGUUCUCUCUGCCAAUUGUUUUCUUUAUUAUCUAAUACUUAAUGGCAUCAAAAUUAAUAAAAAAAAAAGGAAAAGUUAAUUCAAUAUUCUAUUUACCAUUAACCCUCAUCAUUAUAUUUUAAUAUUACUGUUAUUAUAUUUUGUUUCUAAACAAGUUAAUUACUAAAAUACUUAACAUUUAAUUUGGAAAAAAUAAUCAUUUAAUUUUGUUUUUCAUUCAAUUGUUGAAGAUGUUAAUUUAUUGAAGCUAUAAAGGGCAAUAAAUGUUGGUAAAAGUGACAAUUUAACAUCUUUCUUUCAAUGUUUUAAAUAAUAGUGGUAAGCGUUGAAGUAUUCUGUAAAUCCUCAACUGUAGCCAAGUUUAAGUUUUGGUUUCACUCACAAACCGUUAUAUCUCAGUUAGGUUACUAGUAUUAUUGAGAAGGGCAUGGACACUACAUUGAUGUGUCUUCCUAAUCAGAAUAAUUGUGUGCUUGUGUGUAACUGUCAAUUACAUUGUUGUUUUCAUUUUAUAAUUAUGUUCAUAUUCAUUUAAAGCACAUUUUAGAUUAUUUUUGGGAAGGAAAGCUAGCAUGUUUUACUAGAUGUGUAGUGUUAGCAUAAAUGAAUGACAGAGGAAUUAGACAGAUGUCAUCUGCAAGAAAGAUCACACAGGCUACAGACAGGGAAUGCAUAAGAAGGAUGGGUGUUUAAUAAAGGGACAAGUGAUCAGUGCAAAAGGAUCCUGUAGAAGAGGAAGACCAAGGAAGAAACAGUAAAAUCUGAUCUCAGAAUGCAGAACUUCACAAAGGAAAUGGAUAACAUAUGACUAAUACAUGGUGAUGAACUGUACUGGGGAAGAUCAGUUUAACCCUUUAGUAUUCAGAUUAUUCUAUCAAACAUAAUGCCUAUUGAUUCCCAUUGAUUUGAAUUAAUCAUGAAUUAUCUCAUAUCUUUAAGAUCUUGAUGGUGUAAUUACUUAAUGUAGAAUAACAUUGUAGGGUAGGUGUGAGAGCCUGGAUCUGGUUAGUUUGAACAUAAAGCAGAUUAACUAUUUUGGCCGGAUAUGGCCGGUUUAAAUACUAAAGAGUUAAUUAAUGCAUAAAAAGAAAAAAGGGAAAAAUGAACCUAAAUUAACGAUAGUAAUUUUGUUUACCAUUCAUUGCUAUUAUGUUGAUACCAUUCUUAAAUUGUUUUCCUCAACAUUAAAGUAUUUCUGAAAUAAAUCAAUAUGUCAUCAGCAUUAUCAUUAUUAUUAUUAAUAUUAUUAGGGUAGUGAGCUGGCGGAAUUGUUAGCUUGUUGGCGAAAAUACUUAGUGGCAUUUCUUCUGGUUCUUUGUUCUGAGGUCAAAUUUUGCUGGCCAAUAUUGCCUUUCAUCCUUUCUGGCUUGAUAAGUACCUUUUGAUCACAGGGCUUGAUGUAAUCGACUAGCCUCUACCCUCAAAAUUUCAGACCUUGUACCUAUUAGUAGAAAGAAGUAUCAUUAUUAAAUUGGUUAUCUAGUAGAAUUAUUAGCACAUUGGACAAAAUGCUUAGCAGCAUUCCUUCCAACUUUUUAUGUUCUGAGUUCAAAUUCCACCAAGGCCAACUUUUCCUAUCAUUCUUUUGGGGGUCAAUAAAAUACCAGCUGAGUACAGGGGCUGAUGCAAUCAACUUUCCCUUUCUUCCAAACUUCCAGGCCUUGUACCUAUAGUAGAAAGGAUUAUAAUAAUGAUUAUUAUUAUUAUCGUCAUCAUCAGUAUAUAUAUAUAUAUAUAUCUCCAUUCUGUUAGAAGAAGAAAGUGUUGCAUCCAGUCGUAAAGAUCUUCAACAGGCAAAAUCUCAGCCACAAUUUUGUUCAGUAUAUUGUACGUGAUCAUAAAGUAGGAAGAAUGCUGUAAACCCACAUGAACAUGGGGGGAGAAAAAAAGGAACAUAAAAUGAACCUAAAAAUAGUUGUUGUUGAUAAUGAUGAUGACUUAUUAUUUAUUAUUAUUUUUAAAAUAAUUCAUAUUUUAAGAAUCAAUUGUUUUUAAUUUUUCUCUCUCUUUCAAUGAUUUUUGCAGAUUCAAUCUUCCUGAUUCUUGCCUAUUUUUUGCCCCAGCUUAAGUCAUCUUUGGUUAUUGUUAUUAUUUUUGUCUCCAUAAAUUGCUUUUUAUUUUAUUUUUCUAAAAGAUUGUUAUUUAUUAUACUUCGAUGUGUAAUUGCUGUAUAAUUCGCUUCCAUUUCGGCUACUAUUUUUUUUAUCUGAUUGUUUAUUAUGUUCUUUUUGCUGUUUCUUUUUUGUCAUUUUGUUAAUUUAUUAUUUUGAAAAAUUUCCUUUUUUUUUUAUCAUCAUACCAUCUGUCUGUGUGUGUUGUGAAGGGAAUCAUUUUUAACUCAAAGUUAAGUGUUAAAUGCAAAGAAAAUGUUUAAAAAGGACAAAAGACUUCAACAGUGAAACAACUCAAUCAAAGAGAAAAAAAUGUUUUCUUCUGUUUCCUGUGAUUCAUAAUGUCAGUAUUUUCAUCCCUUCAAGACUAUCAUUCUCUUCAUUUUCAUAUUAUUAUUGUUAAGGCAGCAAGCUGGCAUAAUCGUUAGCAUGCUAAACAAAAUACUUAACCGCAUUUCAUCCACUCUUAUGUUCUGUGUUCAAAUUCCACUGAGGUCAACUUUACCUGUUAUCUUUCAGGGUUGAUAAAAUAAGUACCAUUUCAGCUCCAGGGUUGAUGUUAUCAGCAUCUCUCCUCCCCUGAACUUGCCGACCUUGCAUCAAAAUUUGAAACCAUUAUUAUUAUUAAGAUGGCAAACUGACAAAAUCAUUAGCAGGAAGGCGGCGAGCUGGCAGAAUUGUUAGCACACCAGGCAAAAUGCUUAGCAGUAUUUCGUCUGUCUUCAUGUUCUGAGUUCAAAUGUCACCAUGGUCAACCAGGGCUUGUGCCUAAAAUAGAAUGGAUUAUUAUCACCAUUGAAGCAGUGAGCUGGCAGAAUGAUUAUUGCACCAGACGAAAUACUUUGCAAGCAUAUCUUCCAGUUCUUAACAUUCUGAGUUCAAAUGUCACUGAAUUCAACUUUACCUCUCAUCCUUUCAAGACUGAUAAAAUAAAGUAAUUGUUAAACCCUGGGAUAUUAUCAGCCAUCACCUCCCUUAAAAUUGCUAGACUUUUGCCAAAACUAGAAAAAAUAUUAAGACAGCUGGCUGACAGAAUCAUUAAUGCAUUGGACACAAUGGUUAGUGGCAUUUCUUCUGGCUCUUUGUUCUGAGUUCGAAUUCCUCUGAGGCUGACUUUGCCUUUCCUCUUUUUGGGGGAUCAAUAAAAUAAGUACCAGUUGAACAUUGGGGUCCCCCUUCCCAUCAUAAUUGCUGGCCUUGUGCUUAAAUUAUUAAAGAUAGACAUUAUUAUUAUGGGUGAAAUGCUUAGUGGCAUUUCGUCUGUCUUCGUGUUCUGAGUUCAAAUUCUGCUGAGAUCGUUUUUGCCUUUCAUCCUUUCAGGGUUGAUAAAGCAAGUACCAGUUGAACACUGGGGUCGAUGUAAUUGACUUACCCCAGUCCCAGAAUUGCUGGCCAUGUACUAAAAUUUGAAAUCAACAUCAUUAUUAUUAUUAUUAUUAUUAUUAUUACUGGUGAGUAAUCAGAAAUGUUAGAGCAUCAGCCUGAACACUUCACAGUAUUUAGUAUCUCUCUCUUCUUAAUGUUCUAAGUUCAAAUCUUGAUGACAUUGAUUUUGAUGGUUUCAGUUCCCAUCAGUGUCAACAAGAAUACCAGUCAUAUAUUGAAAUUAGUUCAAUAAUAAACUGUGUCUAUCCCUGACACAUUUAAAACCCUGUGCCAAUGAGAAUUUCACUUAUAACCAUUCUUUAUCAUUAUCAUCCAACGUCAUUGUCAUCAUCACCUGUAUGACUAUCAUAUUUAUUAUCAUCAUCAUUGCCUUCACAAAGUUGUGUGCUCAAAUGCUUUUAUGUCUGUCAUUGUUUCUGCUUCCUCUCUGUGUCUAUCUCUCUCUUUUCCUCCUCCUCCUCUCUCUCUCUUUUCCUCCUCCUCUCUCUCUCUUCCUCCUCCUUCUCUCUCUCUCUCUGCUUCAUUGUUUUUGUAAGCCGUUAUAUUUAAGUUUCAUGAAUCAUAUUUAAUUUUGUCUGUAAAUAAAAAACAAAGCCAUCGAAGUUUGUUCUUUUUCAACAAACAAACAAACCAACAGGACUCACAAAAUAAAAGAAAGAAUGAAAGUUAAAAAAAAAAAAAGAGGAAUUAAAGUGAAAAAAAAAAAAUGAAAAGAAGGAAACAAGAAUCAGAACUUUGUUUUGUUGAGAUUCUUCAAAAGGAAUCACCAGCAUCUCACAAGAAAUGACUGUUUGAAUUUUUGUUUUGUUUUGAGCCAAACAUGAAGUAAAACUUCAGAUAUUUCAGCCAACAGUAAAUGAG